UACGUAGGGGGCAAGCGUUGUCCGGAUUUAUUGGGCGUAAAGAGCUCGUAGGCGGUUCGUCGCGUCGGCUGUGAAAUCCCGAGGCUCAACCUCGGGUCUGCAGUCGAUACGAGCAAACUAGAGUGUUGCAGGGGAGACUGGAAUUCCUGGUGUAGCGGUGAAAUGCGCAGAUAUCAGGAGGAACACCGGUGGCGAAGGCGGGUCUCUGGGCAACAACUGACGCUGAGGAGCGAAAGCGUGGGGAGCGAACAGG
rnacentral:rRNA from 1 species